rnacentral:rRNA from 1 species
AUUGAACGCUGGCGGCCGGCCUAACACAUGCAAGUCGAACGAGAGGCGGACGGGUGAAUAAUGUAUGGGAAACUGCCUGAUGGAGGGGGAUAACUACUGGAAACGGUAGCUAAUACCGCAUACCAUCGGAUGUGCCCCGCUUGGAUUAGCUGGUUGGUGGGGUAACGGCUCACCAAGGCGACGAGCCCUAGCUGGUCUGUGAGGCUGACCAGCCACACUGUAACUGAGACACGGUCCAGACUCCGACGGGAGGCAGCAGUGGGGAAUAUUGCACAAUGGGCGCAAGCCUGAUGCAGCCAUGCCGCGUGUAUGAAGAAGGCCUUCGGGUUGUAAAGUACUUUCAGCGGGGAGGCGUUACCCGCAGAAGAAGCACCGGCUAACUCCGUGCCAGCAGCCGCGGUAAUAC